AGAGGACACAGGGAGAAGACAAACGUCCCUUCAUCCUGAGAUUCACUUGGAAAUCCCCUGAACUUCCAACUCCUGGCUGAUGAAACGGAGCAAGUUGUCUCUGCCUUAUGGCCUCCAUCACCAAGCCUGAAGGAGAGUCUCUCAGCCCGGUUUGGGAGUAAACCCAAAACCGUUCAUUCGUCAGGGAAUGCCCCAGGAAACCAGGGCGGUCUUCCAAGCGGGCAGCCACGUUGCCUACUUGAGGCCAAGGCAGAAGCAUCAAUCACAUGGGGCGUAGUUUCUGUCUGGCUAAAGAACGGCUCACGCGGACCUCGGGAAUGCGACUGUGGAAACGACGGGGAAGCUGGAAGGGCUGGGUGGCGGGGGAAGCUGGAGGGCACAGCUUCCAGAUUCCAGUUUGUUAAGAAUCACCUGAAGGACGUUUCUCUGAAGGGAAAGUGGGCAUCUGUGAAGGGUUAGAGGCACAUACUUCAACUUUCCCUAGCACAAGAGUGGAAAUCCAUACUCCUUGGGGAGGGACUUUGUCACUGAACCUUAAGAAAAUGGUUACUGGACUGAGCUUGGUUACUUAUGCCUGUAAUCCUGACGUUUUGGUAGAUGGAAGUGGGAGCAUCGAUUGAGGCCAGGAGUUCUAGCCUAGGCAAUGUAGUGAGACUCUCAUCGAAAAGAAAAUAAAAAAAAGAAGAAAGAAUCUCGUGGCUGUCAUUUUUAAUGUUGCUGGUGUGCAGGGAGGCUGUUUUGACUCUUAUUUCCAUUCUUGGGCCACCGGCAGAGCAGGGCAAAGCUAUGAGGUUACAUAGACCUGGCUUAGACCCCAGUCCCAUUCCCCAGCAGCUUCAGGCCCAAGCAACGGUCUCCAUCUCCCUGAACACAGUCUCCUUAUAGGUAAAAUAACUGCAGAGUUGAUGCUGGAAUUAAAUCAAUGCAGUGGCGAGCCCAGCGCUGCAGAGCCCCGUGCUUAGUGACCAAAAUAAUGUCCCGCCUGCCUCAUCUUCCUCUCGGAUUUUUGCCAAGGCCAAACUGCGCGUGUCCCAGAAAAAAACCCUCGGACACUUGGCCUCUGCCCUGUCUCAGCCGAGUGACUAGGAUGACUGGGAAGUGAAUCACAGGAAAAUCACCCAAGCCCACUCUUCUCCACAGCCGGUGAGCAGAAGGAAGGAAGCAAAGAAGGAAGGGAGGAAGGGAAGAAGGGAGAGUUCAGUUCCCUUUCGUCGUUCACACAGUGGUCCUCCACACCAGGAAACCUAAGGGCUCUGUGGAGGGCCAGGUGCCGUGGCAGCAACACUCCUCAGGGCCUGUUUCAGCACCCCAUUUACGUGGCACAUGAAAAAUUCAGGAUGAACGCCCUGGCUGAAAGCUCUUCCUGGGUUUGGGACAUCAGAAGACCUUCCCGGGAUGGGCUCUUGUCUCUGCAGUAGCUAUGACCUGCACAUAAACCUGUUUCCUACACUGUAAAAUUGGCGUAACCACCAUUCCCUCCCAGUCUUUCUCUGGAGUCCUAAUGGGAACAGUGACGGAAUGAAAGUGACCACGCUGGAACCCGAAGCGCUGUUCCCCUCCGUGGCUUCACACUGAUCUCCACACUAGAAUUCCGUGUCUGCAGUUCAAGUUCAAACUACUGUGGUCGGGGAAGGGCUACAGAGAUCUCGCUUGGCCGUGGAGUCACCGGCCCCGUCCAGUCUUGCUUGGGACACAUACUGGUUUACACUCUCUCGGGUUCAGUUUCCUCAUCUGUAAAUGGGGCUCGUAUCCCCCUCAUAAAGUGGUUUGGGGGAUAAUAAAGCUUGUAAAAGCGC